rnacentral:lncRNA from 1 species
GCCAACAUGCUUACCAGGCUCGGCUAAGCCAAAAUACUUCAGGGGACUAUAAACUGUGAUCCCUGCACAAAGUAGAGGAGCACCAGCGUCAAGUGGCAGGUUCUCGGGGAAACGAACAAUGUAGCGCUCAUUGGCGACCAUUGUGUCCGAGUAACCUCCAUAUGUGACAGUUCUGUCGGCGUAAAUGGAACCGUAGGUAAGUAUCAUUUUGGGGCAGUAGUUUUCAAGGUUGCUGUUACAGCUCUCACAUGCAUGGCAAGCACCAACCAUGCAGCCCACACCCACUUUGUCUCCUUCUUUCACUUUACUCACCUUGCUUC